rnacentral:lncRNA from 1 species
GUAUCUCUGUCGGCAUCGUUGCUGACACCAGGGUCAAUUGGGCGGUACUUGGUAAUUCACUUGAAGUUCCCAUACCAGUGACGAAGUUUUUCCGUGAAGCUAUCAUCGAGCAAGGUGUCAGCCUCGUCGAGUACCAUGUGCCGUAUGGAUGAGGUCUUCUGUAUACAUGUAGUUGUGAAUUUACUAAUAAUUCCAAGAGAUCCGAUCAACAGAUCGACUUCAUCCACUACAGGAUUAAGCAUUUUCUUUUUCGUGUGUCCACCGAUUAAUACCUGUAUCUUGAUAUCCGUAUCGGCAGACAUUUUCUUUGCAACUAUCUGCAAGAGUUAACAACUGAAUCAGUGCAGUUUUGUCAAAUUUGUAUUUCAGCUAUUAAACACAUGCUUCUCAGCCAAUAACUUGUCGUAUGAAUAUGAAAUUUGAAGAGAAUGAAAUAGAUAAUCUCUUGAAAGUC